rnacentral:lncRNA from 1 species
AUUUGAUAUUGCUUACUACAAGUUCAGAUAUCUUUUAUCGUCUGAAAGACUGCAGGUAGAUUUUAUGUAAUACGUAAACACUUCAGAAAAGUCGUGAUCGUAUGGAUGUCCAAAUUUUUAAUAAUUUUCCAUCUUGUUUAGGUCUAAUUAUUGUUUCUAUGGGUUCAUUAGUCACAAGAUGGCCUAUUGGAUUGGUUAUUAGUUUAUUCCACUCAUUGCUAAAUAGGAAAAAUGUUGGUGUGUCUUGUAGGAUUCGUAUUGAAGAUGUACUUCUAAAAUCAAAUGUACUAAGUGAAGUUAAGAGGUCCAUGAUAGAUGGUGGCAUGCAUGUCAAGGAUUUGCCUUGUGUCCCUGCUUCUUGUUCGGGAACCUUGUUUUCUCAUCCAGGUCAACAAAGACACGCAACAGAUUCCCCAGAUAGAAUUGGGGAGACAUUUUUGGGGAUUGGUGGUCCUGCUGGAAUUUGGCAUUUCAGAUAUCGCAGCAUUUAUCUUGACCAAUAAGUAUCAUCUGAAUUUUCGUCACCAAUAAACAGCCCGAGACAGAAAAAGAGGUAACAGAAUCAAUGUCACUCAUUGUCCUUCCACAAGGAAAGUGCUUUGCUGGAUAAUUUCUAACAGAUUGCAAAAAUGGUGUCUUGUUUUGCAGAUUAUUUAGGGCUUACCAAAAACUCUGAGUCCAUGCAUGAUAAUGGAAUUGGGCCUCAUAAAGCCCAGUUUAGAAGGGAUGAAAACUAUGGUAAUAUUCGCAUUCUUUUGGAUGCUUGCUAUACUUCGGGUGGUUUUUGUUGGAAAAAAAGAGGGAGCGGCUCACUUUUGGCACAAUUUUCGGUGGGACUCGUUGGUCCAAUUUGGAAUAUCAUAGUUGAUAUGUGUUCUCCGCAAGAACAUCGAAGUCAUGUAUGUAUUUGCUAAAAAUGAAGCUCGGGUAAAUAAGAAAUUGGAGUUUAAAGUGGAUCAUUGGAAAUGGUCUAUGUUGGUGGGAAAACUAUAGUUAACUUUGUCCCACAUAGAAAAAACAUGGAAACCAAAAUCACUUUAUAUAUGGCUAUGCAUUAGAAUGGUGGGAUCAUGUGUAGCAUAGAGGCUCUCUCCACGUGCGCGCGCAGGGGGUGCAAAUCACAGACAGAAAUAGCCUUCGGACCUUGAACUUGGGUGCGGGCGCGACCUAUGCCCACGAAUGUCGGACCGAACAGAGCAAAAACUAGCCAGUUUGGAUUGUCCGCAUUUUACAAUUUUUUUGUGAUUUUUCCAAAUGACUUUUGAGUGUCUGAAACUCCUAAAACUCCAAUGGUCGAAACCGAAGUGUAACUCCGAAAACUGCAAUGGUUAAUGCAGAAACUAAUGGUCAGAUUCAGUCCAGUUCAAACAUUAAAAUUUCGUCUGCAAUUUCAAGCAGUUUAAACUCAGAUUCAGUUCUGUUUUCUAUUUUGUUCCGUCUCCUCCUGUGUCCAUUGCAAUAAGGUGAUAUUGUUCGAACUCGCCAGUUCGCCAGAGUAGAACCACGGUGCUCGAAUUCUUCUGAUUACUGUUGUAUCCUGGGAGACAGGCGCUCGAACUAAACCUCUAGCACUACGGUGAGGGGACAAAUUUGUUUUAAGAAAACUGUGUUUACACAGACUUCAGGGUUAAAAGUUUAUUACCAAAUAUAUAUGUGCUUCCAGUUUGAGUAUAUGUGCUUUAAUAAUUUGCAGAUUUACACGCUUUCAGAUUUAAUUUAGCUUUCUGAAAU